CACGUAGUUAGCCGGGGCUUCCUCCUAUGGUACCGUCAUUAUCUUCCCAUAGGACAGAGCUUUACGACCCGAAGGCCUUCUUCGCUCACGCGGCGUCGCUGCAUCAGGCUUUCGCCCAUUGUGCAAUAUUCCCCACUGCUGCCUCCCGUAGGAGUCUGGGCCGUGUCUCAGUCCCAGUGUGGCCGGUCACCCUCUCAGGCCGGCUACCCAUCGUCGCCUUGGUGAGCCGUUACCUCACCAACUAGCUAAUGGGACGCGAGGCCAUCUCCCACCGCUAAAGCGCUUUAACCUAAGAGUCAUGCGACUCUUAAGUGUCAUAGGGUAUUAAUCCCGGUUUCCCGAGGCUAUCCCCUUGUGGGAGGUAGGUUCCUCACGUAUUACUCACCCGUCCGCCGCUAAGUGCUUCAAGUUUUAUCCCGAAGGAUUCCACUUAAAGCACUUCGCUCGACUUGCAUGUGUUAGGCACGCCGCCAGCGUUCGUCCUGAGCCAGGAUCAAACUCU
rnacentral:rRNA from 1 species